CAUUCUCUGUAAUAAAUAGUAAUGAAAAUAAGCAGAAUGCGACUAGACGGCAUUGCUCUUCCAUGCAGGAAUUCUCUAACUAACCCGACAAGAGCGCCAAGGAAAAGAUAGCAUAAGAUCUUAAAUGGAAUCCUGGGUCUGGUUUUCCUGCAAGAUCAGAAUUAUGUUCAGUCCUUUGAUUAAUCUAGUUUAUGGUUGGAGCUCAGAACAUGUUAAGGAAACUGGAUGACAUGGUUAGCUGUUGAAUAUGUACCUUUCGCAGUAGCAAGCAAUGGGCGCCAAGAAAAUAGCAGCAAUUGACAGUCGAAACACAAUGUCCAUUGAUUUCCAUGCCUCUAUAUAUAGGCGAAGCACCUGAAAAAUGGGAGACAUGUUCAGAUAUAGAAAAUCGCAUACCUGACUUUAGGCUAUCCACUUUCCAAUAUUUAUUUAAUUAAAUGUUCUCUUUCUUCCAGGAUGUCUGAGUUAUCAAAUUGCUGAUGACUAUAUUCAGAUGAUGAUAUUCGCAGAAGAACAUGGAUGGAACACAACCCUUUCGGCUUAAUUAAUCAUAUCGUAAUUAUAAUAUGUUGGCAGCAAGCAAUCAGAAACUUUCAGAAAGUCGGAGGCAGGAAAUGACAGAAGCAUCUAAUACUUGUUUAUUGACCAAAAAUUCUUACCAUUUUGCACUAAAAUAAUGCAAGAACAAUGUGUCAAAUCUUGGUUUCCAUUAUCAAGCAAUGGGAUGCUUGUCGCUGUAACUUGAUCGUUCUGUCAAGCA